rnacentral:rRNA from 1 species
AAUAUUGCACAAUGGGCGCAAGCCUGAUGCAGCCAUGCCGCGUGUAUGAAGAAGGCCUUCGGGUUGUAAAGUACUUUCAGCAGUGAGGAAGGCGGAGUCGUUAAUAGCGGCCUCGUUUGACGUUAGCUGCAGAAGAAGCACCGGCUAACUCCGUGCCAGCAGCCGCGGUAAUACGGAGGGUGCGAGCGUUAAUCGGAAUUACUGGGCGUAAAGCGCAUGCAGGUGGUUUGUUAAGUCAGAUGUGAAAGCCCGGGGCUCAACCUCGGAAUUGCAUUUGAAACUGGCAGACUAGAGUACUGUAGAGGGGGUAGAAUUUCAGGUGUAGCGGUGAAAUGCGUAGAGAUCUGAAGGAAUACCGGUGGCGAAGGCGGCCCCCUGGACAGAUACUGACACUCAGAUGCGAAAGCGUGGGGAGCAAACAGGAUUAGAUACCCUGGUAG